rnacentral:rRNA from 1 species
CCUACGGGAGGCAGCAGUGGGGAAUAUUUGGCAAUGGAGGAAACUCUGACCCAGCAAUGCCGCGUGAGUGAAGAAGGUCUUCGGAUUGUAAAGUUCUUUAGUCAGGGAAGAAGUCAAUGACGGUACCUGAAGAAUAAGCUCCGACUAACUACGUGCCAGCAGCCGCGGUAAUACGUAGGGAGGAAGAGUUGUUCUGAAUGACUGGGCGUAAGGGGUGCGUAGGCGGUUGUAGAAGUUAGAAGGGAAAUACCCAGGGCUUAACUCGGGGGCUGGUCCUAAAACUGUAUGACUGGAGUGCAGUAGAGGUUAGUGGAAUUCCUAGUGUAGCGGUGGAAUGCGUAGAUAUUAGGAGGAACACCAGAGGCGAAGGCGGCUAACUGGACUGCAACUGACGCUGAGGCACGAAAGUGUGGGGAGCAAACAGGAUUAGAUACCCCUGUAGUC